rnacentral:rRNA from 1 species
GGAUCAGGUAGGAAUACCCGCUGAACUUAAGCAUAUCAUGACCGGA